UUUAAUAAUCGAAAAAGUUGCACUAAGGGAAGAACAUAUAUGUGAUAAAUAAAUAUAUAUAUAUAUAUUUCAGUAAUAUUUUUAAAUGUUUUUUUUUUUUUCCUUUGUUUCAGGUAAGUCCAUUUUAUCAAGCAGAUUUUUCGUCCAUACUGAACACACUUUUAAGAGGCGCUCUUUAUACGUUCGACACACGGAAUGCCAGAUUGCGUGUACAUAAUGAGUGAGUUCGCCUUUUUUUUUGUACUCUCAAUCUUAAUACAUUUUUUUG